rnacentral:rRNA from 1 species
AUUGAACGCUGGCGGCAGGCCUAACACAUGCAAGUCGAGCGGAUGAAGGGAGCUUGCUCCUGGAUUCAGCGGCGGACGGGUGAGUAAUGCCUAGGAAUCUGCCUGGUAGUGGGGGAUAACGUCCGGACACGGGCGCUAAUACCGCAUACGUCCUGAGGGAGAAAGUGGGGGAUCUUCGGACCUCACGCUAUCAGAUGAGCCUAGGUCGGAUUAGCUAGCUGGUGGGGUAAAGGCCUACCAAGGCGACGAUCCGUAACUGGUCUGAGAGGAUGAUCAGUCACACUGGAACUGAGACACGGUCCAGACUCCUACGGGAGGCAGCAGUGGGGAAUAUUGGACAAUGGGCGAAAGCCUGAUCCAGCCAUGCCGCGUGUGUGAAGAAGGUCUUCGGAUUGUAAAGCACUUUAAGUUGGGAGGAAGGGCAGUAAGUUAAUACCUUGCUGUUUUGACGGUACCAACAGAAUAAGCACCGGCUAACUUCGUG